UUAUUGGGUCUAAAACAUCCGUAGCUUGCUUAGUAAGUUCUUUGUGAAAUCUCUCAUCCUAAGUGGGAGGCGUGCGGAGAAUACUGCUGAGCUAGAGACUGGAAGACGUAAAGAGUACAUUCAAGGUAACGGUUAAAUGUGUUAAUCUUGGGUGGACUAACAAUAGCGAAGGCACUUUACGAGGACAGUUCUGACAGUAAGGGAUGAAGGCCAGGGGCGCAAAACGGAUUAGAUACCCGUGUAGUCCUGGCAGUAAACACUGCACACUAAACAUCAGUACCUCCUCAAGAGGUAUUGGUGCUGCAGGGAAGCCGAAGAGUGUGCUACCUGGGAAGUAUAGUCGCAAGGCCGAAACUUAAAGGAAUUGGCGGGGAGACACUACAACGGGUGACGCGUGCGGUUCAAUUAGAUUCAACACCGUGAACCUCACCAGGAGCGACAGCAGAAUGAAGGUCAGUCUGAAGGGCUUACCUGACACGCUGAGAGGAGUCGCAAGUCCGACGUCAGCCUGUGCCGUGAGGUGACCUGUUAAAUCAGGUAACAGGCAAGACCCACAUGUCUAUUUACAAUGUACUAUAGACAGAUUGCCUUGGUAACAAGGAUGAGAGUAUGGGCCACGUUAGGUUAUUUCAGCCCGAAUCCCCUGGGCAACACGCGCGCGGCAAUGCUAGAUACAACGAGAUGCAACACCGAAAGGUGGAGCUAAUCUCCUAAAGUCUAGCCUAGUUCAAAUUGAGGUUUGUAACUCAGCCUCAUGACGAUGGAAU
rnacentral:rRNA from 1 species